rnacentral:rRNA from 1 species
AGAGUUUGAUCCUGGCUCAGGAUGAACGCUGGCGGUCUGCUUAACACAUGCAAGUCGAACGAAUCCCUUCGGGGAUUAGUGGCGGACGGGUGAGUAACGCGUGAGAAUCUACCAAAAGGACUGGGACAACCACUGGAAACGGUGGCUAAUACCGGAUGAGCCGCAACGUAAAAGAGGAAACUCGCCUUUUGAAGAGCUCGCGUCUGAUUAGCUAGUUGGUGAGGUAAAGGCUCACCAAGGCGGCGAUCAGUAGCUGGUCUGAGAGGAUGAUCAGCCACACUGGGACUGAGACACGGCCCAGACUCCUACGGGAGGCAGCAGUGGGGAAUUUUCCGCAAUGGGCGAAAGCCUGACGGAGCAAGACCGCGUGAGGGAGGAAGGCUCUUGGGUUGUAAACCUCUUUUGUCAGGGAAGAACACAAUGACGGUACCUGAAGAAUCAGCAUCGGCUAACUCCGUGCCAGCAGCCGCGGUAAUACGGGGGAUGCAAGCGUUAUCCGGAAUUAUUGGGCGUAAAGCGUCCGCAGGUGGCUAAUCAAGUCUGCUGUCAAAGGUUGGGGCUUAACCCCAAAAAGGCAGUGGAAACUGAGAAGCUAGAGUGCAGUAGGGGUAGAGGGAAUUCCCGGUGUAGCGGUGAAAUGCGUAGAGAUCGGGAAGAACAUCGGUGGCGAAAGCGCUCUACUGGACUGCAACUGACACUCAGGGACGAAAGCUAGGGGAGCGAAUGGGAUUAGAUACCCCAGUAGUCC